rnacentral:misc_RNA from 1 species
UAGUAAAUUCCAAAAAAUGGGAAAACACCAUAGCCGAUGAGAUGGGAACACUGAGAGCAAUCAAAGAGAUGAGCCCCAAAGCCACGCUAGGCCUUGUGUCCAUCAACUGGGAUUGUAGAACACCCACCAUUUCACAAAUGAAAGAAUCAUAGCUAGUAAAACAACGCUUCUCCCAUUCCAUCCAAUGGGAAGGAGGCUCAUAGUUUCUCUCCACCAUCUUCAUCUCAUGAAUUCUUUUCCUAAGAACAAUCAUGUUGACAUCCACCAGCCGCCCACUGUAGUUCUGGUCAUGUGCUGC